GUGAGUCUCGUCAGAGUUCUCACCCGUGCACGUUAAUGUUAUUACAUUCUAACUGUUUGAGUGUCUUUAUUCAGCCUGAAGAAUGUCUUAUUAAAAAUAAACUCUUGACAUUUAAUUGGUCCUCCGAGCCGGAUGUAGGACAUCGAAUUAUAACUAAUUUUAUGCUCCAACGGAGUGACCUCGUCGUUUCCUGUCAUCGUGGAGAGCCCGCGCUGAAGUCUGUCGACAGCCUCUUUCCUAUGAAGGAGAAAAAGACCAACUACGUGAAUUCGGGGUUGGCCAGCGUUCUUAGUAAGAGGUCCACGAUCCUGGGGAACGAGGAGGAAUCUCUGACCGGCACUUAUAUCAUCAUAACCAGGCUGCUUUGCCGGUCCUGAAAGCCAAAGCUGACCUGGACUCCUGCUCUCCCCUCUACCAUCUCUGACCCUGACCAAAUGCUGCAGCAGCUGGACCCAUAACAACAAUCUAAAAAUGUCAACAGUGCUACAGGAAAGCGAUCUCAUGCAGCAGAGACGGGGAGCGUUAAAUCCAAGGCUCGUUUCACUACACGGAGGAGAUUUCCAGACAGCUUCAGCUGACAGAGCUGUGACGAGACGCCCAUUAAGCCCGAAUGAAAAGUAAGGCCGAGCAAAAGAAUGCUGACCUUGAUAACUCUGCAUUAACACUGUACAGGACAGUGAUGGACCAACACGGAUGAUCAGGCAGCAGAAGAAAGGGCGUGCCAGAGACAGGAGAAGCAACUGAGGUCAAAAGGCACCUCAGAAUGGACAAAACACAGAAGAAGAUGCAGGUUUCACCUGCGGUGAGCAUGGACACUGGAGAAAGGACUGCCCCAAUUGGGGCCAGGACCAGGACAGACUGAACUUUGAGCAGCAGCAGCAAUGGUCGCAACCGGACUGAAAAGGAGGAGGGCAGGACCCCAGGGCACGCUUCAGGCCGUGGUUUACCCAAAACACCAGAACAGGAAAGUGAUAAAUACACCAACAUACACAUCUACACACACACCAGACAAUGUACACUCAUCAAACAUGACUGAUGCCCUGAACGCCUUGAGACAGAUCCAGCAGGCCCAAACUCAGGACUAUGUAAAUAAUACAAGUGACUGCUAAAAAGACUACUACUGCCUUUUCACUGUGCAAUACUUUUUGUUAAAAACCAACGGUGCAAUAGACUUCAAUACUUGAAAUACUUGAAAUACUUGCAAUUCCUUUGUGUUCUUAUUCUUAUUUAUUCUAUUUAUCCCUUUUUGUAUUUUCACUUUUAUUUUGUGUUUUGUAACAUGUAUCCUGCCAUGUCUAAAACUCAUGAUUAACCGUAUAGUUGUUUCCACUGUUGCUGCAUACAUAGCCGUGACAAAUGAUGAUGAUGAUGACUCUGACCUGUUGGAACAUGAAAACUUUGUGUGAUUAAUGAUGGUGUGAUAGAAACUGUACAACAAGAUGUUACAUACUGAUAUCUCACUUGAAAGUUAUACUGACAACAGGAGGGAAUGUCAAUGGAAAAUUGUACUUAGUAGUCAGUAUAAGCUUGCAUAUGAUAGAAUACUGUAUGUUGACCUUUUGAUGACUUAGACUGUUGUCCACUACAAGACUGUUUUAUAAAUUCUUUCUUACAGCGAUAAUAGCUGAACAAGCAGGAAGAGGAGAGCUGGACACUUUUAUCUGCGCUCUCUAACAAGAAGAAGGGCUGCGUCCUUCUGAAUCUCACAACACACACACAUACACCUGAACCACUCUUAUCUUCACUCCCUACGUACUAACAUUCCGGAACGGAACGUUCCAGUAAGAUAGCCACAUACUGUUGUAUAGUCAUUUUUCUCAGAAGAGCGAAAAUACGCCGCCCUGUUGUGUGGGCACCAGUGACUAUAAAUGCACGAAUAAAGAAGUACACUGUGUGACUCUCUUCUGAGAC
ensembl:lncRNA